rnacentral:rRNA from 1 species
UACGUAGGCAGCAAGCGUUGUUCGGAGUUACUGGGCGUAAAGGGUGCGUAGGCGGCUUUUAAGUUUGGUGUGAAAUCUCCCGGCUCAACUGGGAGGGUGCGCCGAAUACUGAGAGGCUAGAGUGUGGGAGAGGAAAGUGGAAUUCCUGGUGUAGCGGUGAAAUGCGUAGAUAUCAGGAGGAACACCGGUGGUGUAAACGGCUUUCUGGACCAUAACUGACGCUGAGGCACGAAAGCGUGGGUAGCAAACAGG